CACCAGGGAUGCCCUAGUACGGCGAGUGAAGCGGCAMCAGCUCAAAUUUGAAAUCUGGCUCCUUCGGGGUCCGAGUUGUAAUUUGCAGAGGGUGCUUUGGCGUUGGCGGCGGUCUAAGUUCCUUGGAACAGGACAUCACAGAGGGUGAGAAUCCCGUACGUGGUCGCCUGCCUUCGCCGUGUAAAGCCCCUUCGACGAGUCGAGUUGUUUGGGAAUGCAGCUCUAAAUGGGAGGUAAAUUUCUUCUAAAGCUAAAUACCGGCCAGAGACCGAUAGCGCACAAGUAGAGUGAUCGAAAGAUGAAAAGCACUUUGGAAAGAGAGUCAAACAGCACGUGAAAUUGUUAUAAGGGAAGCGCUUGCAGCCAGACUUGCCUGUAGUUGCUCACCUGGGCUUUUGCCCGGGGCACUCUUCUGCAGGCAGGCCAGCAUCAGUUUGGGCGGUCGGAUAAAGGCCUCUGACACGUACUUCCUUUCGGGGUUGACAUAUAGGGGAGGCGUAAUGCGACCAGCCUGGACUGAGGUCCGCGCAUCUGCUAGGAUGCUGGCGUAAUGGCUGUAAGCGGCCCGUCUUGAAACACGGACCAAGGAGUCUAACAUCUAUGCGAGUGUUUGGGUGUCAAGCCCGAGCGCGUAAUGAAAGUGAACGGAGGUGGGAACCCCUCGGGGCGCACCAUCGACCGAUCCUGAUGUCUUCGGAUGGAUUUGAGUAAGAGCAUAGCUGUUGGGACCCGAAAGAUGGUGAACUAUGCUUGAAUAGGGUGAAGCCAGAGGAAACUCUGGUGGAGGCUCGCAGCGGUUCUGACGUGCAAAUCGAUCGUCAAAUUU
rnacentral:rRNA from 1 species